GUCAACGGCAUUCCUCGAACUGAAGCUUUGAGACCUAUGAGGGGGUUUUCAAAUGUGAUUUGGGAGACUAAUGAAUUGGUAGGUCACCUACAGCCCAAUCCUUGGACCCCAGGAGCCACUAUUCUCACUCGAAAAACCAUUAAUGGACCUAGAAGCAUUUUUCAGUUAGUGUUACCUGACUACAUAGCAAUGAUGCAGGGGGCACGGACUGUUGCCAAUCUCCUUUGCGAGAAACUUGGUGUGCACCGCUGUGCCCUUGUGUCCAUGCCAGAAUUCGACAAGCCAGCCUACAUCAAAGUCUUACCCCUCCAUGGCCUAGAACCAAACUGGAAGCCUCAUUUAGCUAAGGAAAUGGAGUUCAAUCCUUAUGACCCUGGAUACUGUAGUUCCAAAAGUGGUCCACGAUGUGAAGAUAUACAUCUUGACCAAGUGCAGGCAAAGAUUUGCUCUCAACUUCCAACACCCAAUGCCCCUUCUUGCUUUGACUUUCAUGGGGAUCCCUCUGAUGGUGGCCUUUUCCCACGCAUUAUCCGUGGUGAAGAGCAACAGUGGCGUGUCUGGGAAGACAAUGAACAUGUGGCCUUCCUUACUCCUUUUCCAAAUACACCAGGCUUUACAGUUCUAGUGCCAAGAAAACCUCUUACCAGUGACAUUUUCCGUCUGAAUGAGAGUGACUCUACAGCCCUAAUUGUGGCAAUACGAAAGGUUGCUCAUCUUUUGCAAGAAGGAAUGAAUGCCCAUGGUGUAGCUCUUAUAUUUGAAGGCUUUGAAUUUGAUUAUGCCCAUGCCAAACUGAUUCCAUUAGUUCCUCAACCUAAUGCCCUAAAACCUCCAACUGUGGCUUCUCAGUUCUGCCCAACUUAUGCAGGAUAUGUAACAUCAGUAGAUGGGCCCCCAGCUAACAAAGAGGACCUUACAGAGAUGCACACCAAGAUCACAAAGACCACUGCCCCUCAGUCCUGGGAACACCCCCAGACCCAUGCUGCAUCCGCCAUUAAGAGCAAAUGGUAUCGCAAUCUCUUUCAAAUCCAAAACACCCUGUUUCAUAGCACGGUAGAGUACUUCCACAACAAAUGCAAGUAUGCUUAUGC
ensembl:lncRNA